rnacentral:rRNA from 1 species
UACGUAGGGUGCAAGCAUUAUCCGGAGUGACUGGGCGUAAAGAGUUGCGUAGGUGGUUCUAUAAGCGAAUAGUGAAAGCUAACGGCUCAACCGUUUAGACUAUUGUUCGAACUGUAGAACUCGAGAGUGGUAGAGGUAACUGGAAUUUCUAGUGUAGGAGUGAAAUCCGUAGAUAUUAGAAGGAACACCAAUGGCGUAGGCAGGUUACUGGACCAUUUCUGACACUGAGGCACGAAAGCGUGGGGAGCGAACCGG